rnacentral:lncRNA from 1 species
CUGAACUUUGUGGGAAUCCGAAUCCAAAUUGGGGAAAAAACUGAUUAAAUCACUGUGUAGAAUCUACUCUCCAUUUAUAAAUAUCUGAAUCAGGUAGGGGACUCUUAUUUUGUAAUGAGAAAGUGAAAGUAAAUUCUGUGCUGGGUGCGGCAGGCGUUCUGGGCUGAGUUCUGCUGCAGGAGCUGUUAGUCUUUGGUUCGGUUGUUUUGUAUAUAAAAAGUAUCUGGGUUCUGGUUCUGGUUCUGAGGGCUGGAUCAGUCUGUCCGGUUCUGAAAGGAAGGAGGAAGAUUGGCCGGGUUUAGAGUGUCCUGUCUGUGAGAUAUCCCGACUGCAGAAAAUGGAGGAGAGAGAAAAGCGUUUAGCAGAAAGAGAAAAACACCUGGAUCAGAGAGAACUACAUUUAACUGAGAAGGAAAAACAUCUGGAUGAACGAGAGACUCGAUUAGAAGAGAUAUGGAAGCAGCUGAAGGAAAGAGAGAUUAGAUUAAAUGAGAGAGAGGAGCGUUUAGAAGGAGGAGAAAAAACCCUAGAUCAGAGUUUGUUUGAGGAACAACACUUUCGAUUAUCCAAUCGAGAUUUUCGACUGGGGAUGAGAGAAAAACGUCUGAGCCUGAGAGAGAGCGUCGCUGUGCCGAGACGCCCGCUGUACCUGGAAGAGGAGCUGAGAGGACUGGAACUGGAAAGGAAAGCAAAAGAACUGAAAGAACUGCAUAAACUGACAAAAAGUUUUCCAGCAAGAGAAGAAACUUGCAUUAGAGUAUCAGGAUUUCCACCUGUCCCACCCCGUACCACAAGAAGAAAAAGCAUCGACAUUCCCCCGUACUAUUGGUUAGACACAGUAAGGUCAGAGUGUCCUGUCUGA